UCGGGAAUUUUGGGCAAUGGGCGAAAGCCUGACCCAGCAACGCCGCGUGAGGGAUGAAGUAUUUCGGUAUGUAAACCUCGAAAGAAUGGGAAGAAUAAAUGACGGUACCAUUUAUAAGCUCCGGCUAACUACGUGCCAGCAGCCGCGGUAAUACGUAGGGAGCAAGCGUUGUUCGGAUUUACUGGGCGUAAAGGGCGCGUAGGCGGCGCGGUAAGUCACUUGUGAAAUCUCUGAGCUUAACUCAGAACGGCCAAGUGAUACUGCUGUGCUAGGGUGCGGAAAAGGCUGCCGGAAUUCUUGGUGUAGCGGUGAAAUGCGUAGAUAUCAAGAGGAACACCUGAGGCGAAGGCGGGUUGCUGGGCCGACACUGACGCUGAUGCGCGAA
rnacentral:rRNA from 1 species